UCGAGAAUCAUUCGCAAUGGGCGAAAGCCUGACGAUGCGACGCCGUGUGAACGAUGAAGGCCUUCGGGUUGUAAAGUUCUUUCGCCUGGGAACAAGAGAGACUGACGAAUAAUCAGUUAAUUUGAGGGUACUAGGUAAAGAAGCACCGGCUAACUCCGUGCCAGCAGCUGCGGUAAUACGGAGGGUGCAAGCAUUAAUCGGAUUUAUUGGGCGUAAAGAGCGCGUAGGCGGGAAGGUAAGUCAGAUGUGA
rnacentral:rRNA from 1 species